rnacentral:rRNA from 1 species
CCAACAGGGAUUGCCUUAGUAACGGCGAGUGAAGCGGCAAUAGCUCAAAUUUGAAAGCUGGCCCCUUCGGGGUCCGCGUUGUAAUUUGUAGAGGAUGAUUCGGCGAGGGCUCCCGUCUAAGUCCCUUGGAACAGGGCGUCAUAGAGGGUGAGAAUCCCGUAUGUGAUGGGCUGCCUUAGCCAUGUGAAUCUCCUUCGACGAGUCGAGUUGUUUGGGAAUGCAGCUCUAAAUGGGAGGUAAAUUUCUUCUAAAGCUAAAUACCGGCCAGAGACCGAUAGCGCACAAGUAGAGUGAUCGAAAGAUGAAAAGCACUUUGGAAAGAGAGUUAAAAAGUACGUGAAAUUGUUGAAAGGGAAGCGCUUGCAGCCAGACUUGUCCGCAGUUGCUCAGCUUGUCUCCUGACAGGCGUACUCUUCUGCGGCCAGGCCAGCAUCAGUUCGGGCGGUCGGAUAAAGACCUAGGGAAUGUAGCUCCUCUCGGGGAGUGUUAUAGCCCUGGGUGCAAUGCGGCCAGCCUGGACUGAGGAUCUCGCUUCGGCUAGGAUGCUGGCGUAAUGGCUGUAAGCGGCCCGUCUUGAAACACGGACCAAGGAGUCUAACAUCUAUGCGAGUGUUUGGGUGUCAAACCCAUGCGCGUAAUGAAAGUGAACGGAGGUGGGAACCCUCACGGGUGCACCAUCGACCGAUCCUGAUGUCUUCGGAUGGAUUUGAGUAAGAGCAUAGCUGUUGGGACCCGAAAGAUGGUGAACUAUGCCUGAAUAGGGUGAAGCCAGAGGAAACUCUGGUGGAGGCUCGCAGCGGUUCUGACGUGCAAAUCGAUCGUCAAAUUUGGGUAUAGGGGC